rnacentral:rRNA from 1 species
AUUGAACGCUAGCGGCAUGCUUAACACAUGCAAGUCGAACGGCAGCGCGGGUAGCUUGCUACCUGGCGGCGAGUGGCGGACGGGUGAGUAAUGCGUAGGAAUCUACCUUAUAGUGGGGGAUAACUCGAGGAAACUCGAGCUAAUACCGCAUAAUCUCUAAGGAGCAAAGCGGGGGACCUUCGGGCCUCGUGCUGUAAGAUGAGCCUACGUCGGAUUAGCUAGUUGGUGGGGUAAUAGCCUACCAAGGCGACGAUCCGUAGCUGGUCUGAGAGGACGAUCAGCCACACUGGGACUGAGACACGGCCCAGACUCCUACGGGAGGCAGCAGUGGGGAAUAUUGGACAAUGGGGGAAACCCUGAUCCAGCAAUGCCGCGUGUGUGAAGAAGGCCUUCGGGUUGUAAAGCACUUUCAGUGGGGAAGAAAGAACCAAAAUUAAUACUUUUGGGUGUUGACGUUACCUACGGAAGAAGCACUGGCUAACUCUGUGCCAGCCGCCGCCGUAA